rfam:Gossypium hirsutum cultivar TM-1 chromosome 14, whole genome shotgun sequence
CUUAAGGAAGCGCUUUGUCCACGUGGACAGAAAACGCGUCAUUGCGCUUUGUGUCCACGUGGACAAAGUGCUUCCUUGAGG